rnacentral:rRNA from 1 species
GACGUACGCUGGCGGCGUGCUUAACACAUGCAAGUCGAGCGGAGCGGCGAACGGGUGAGUAACGCGUGAGUAACUGCCCCCCUCUCUGGGAUAACAGUUGGAAACGGCUGCUCAUACCGGAUAGUGGGGGAUGACUCGCGUCCUAUCAGCGUGAUGGUGGGGUAGUGGCCUCCCAAGGCGACGACGGGUAGCCGGCCUGAGAGGGCGACCGGCCACAUUGGGCUGAGAUACGGACCAAACUCCUACGGGAGGCAGCAGUGAGGAAUAUGGCACAAUGGGGGAGACCGUGAUGCAGCAACGCGCGUGCGGGAUGACGGGGUUCGGGUUGUAAACCGCUUUCAGCCAUGACGCGGUAGUGGCAGAAGAAGGACCGACUAACUACGUGCCAGCAGCCGCGGUAAUAC